CACAACAUCUUUGUUUGUAUGUGGUGCUGAGGAUCGAACCCGGCCGCACGCAUGCCAGGUGAGCGCGCUACCACUGAGCCACAUCUCCAGCCCCAAAGGAAAUCUGAUUUAUGGAGUUUUCUCCAACUGAUUGCAGAAGAGGAAGGGAAACAUGUGGCAAGAAGAAUGUGGUCAGCUUCUAGGAGCUAACACCAGCAUCCCUGCUGAUAGCCAGUGAGGAAGUGAGGUCUUCAGUCCUGCAAUGACAAGUAACUGAAGCCUGCCAAAACAAGAAUGAGAUGAAAAAACUUUCCCCCAGAGCUUCCAGAAGAAAACUCAGCCUAACCAACACCCUGAUUGAUUUCAGCUUUGUGAUACUGAGUAGAGAACACAUCCAUGCUGUCUGUGCCAGACUUCUGACCUACAGAACCAAAAGCUAAUAAAAAGAUGUUGUUUUAACUUGC